rnacentral:rRNA from 1 species
GAUGAACGCUAGCGGGAGGCCUAACACAUGCAAGCCGAGCGGUAUUGUUUCUUCGGAAAUGAGAGAGCGGCGUACGGGUGCGGAACACGUGUGCAACCUGCCUUUAUCUGGGGGAUAGCCUUUCGAAAGGAAGAUUAAUACUCCAUAAUAUAUUGAACGGCAUCGUUUAAUAUUGAAAGCUCCGGCGGAUAGAGAUGGGCACGCGCAAGGUUAGCUAGUUGGUGAGGUAACGGCUCACCAAGGCGAUGAUCUUUAGGGGGCCUGAGAGGGUGGUCCCCCACACUGGUACUGAGACACGGACCAGACUCCUACGGGAGGCAGCAGUGAGGAAUAUUGGUCAAUGGGUGCAAGCCUGAACCAGCCAUCCCGCGUGAAGGACGACUGCCCUAUGGGUUGUAAACUUCUUUUGUAUAGGGAUAAACCUACCCUCGUGAGGGUAGCUGAAGGUACUAUACGAAUAAGCACCGGCUAACUCCGUGCCAGCCGCCGCCGUAAAAC